AUAUAUAUUAAAACCCAAACUCCUGGUUAGUAUCCGUGGACAGUGGAGUGGCGAAAACACCCUCCAAAAUUUUUUCCCUCAACGUUUUCCUCCAUCUUUUCAACAGUGCAAGGACGAUUCUGCCCUUGGUAACCACGCGUCUGUCAUCGGUGGUUCUUCUGCUCCGUUUCUUCCCUGCCUUUUGUUUGGGUUCCCUUCUCCCUCCUCGCCUCACUCUUCUCUGCACCAAGCAGCUCGAUUUAGGGCUUCACCAUUUCUCUUCGAAUCAAGGUCUCUAUUUCUCUCCCUAUUUUCCCAAUCUAGGUUUCCCUCUCUCUGUGUAAAAACCCUAGAUUUCGCCACUGCCGGAGAGUCGAAGCUCGGCCCUUCGAGCCUCAAUCCGCCUUGCCGAUUACCUACUCUCGGCGCCUCCACCUAAACCCCUCUCUUGCAGCAGAAGGAAGCUAGGAGGUGCAGCAACUGGAAGUCGGAUUUCACUCCCGUGGCUGCAAUUAGAUCAAGUUUUGGCUGAUUUGAUCUGAGCACGCACAGAUUGUUUUUGACUCCUACCCUCCCAGAAACUUGAGAAAUGUUAUUCUUGCUGCAGACCUGCCAUAUUGAUUGAUCUGUACAAGCUUGCAAUUAAGGCCCUUGGCCUAGUCUCACCUCCUCCCCAUGAACAAUAAGGGAUGAAGUUUCAGGGUUCCAUGCCCCGUGAAUGCAAUAUUGAAGAAACCUUGCAGUGCAUUUUGCAAUCAUUUGAACAUAAUAAGACAUUAAUUAAUAUCGUGUUCACAUAAACCCACGGGGAAUGUCAUUGUUAACUGUUAACAAUUUAAAGUGCUUGUACAAAUUUUUAGUGAUAAACAAAGCUUUAUCUCGUACUAAUUA